UUUGUUUUUUAGUGUCAUUACAAAGCCAGAGAUUUAAACAUACUGAAAGUGUUUCAGUCCAUUGUGGUUAUUAUUCUUUUUGAUGCUUAGUUGUUCCAUCUUUGACCAGUGGAAAUCCAGUCAGGUUGGUGGCACCUCAAUUCUUCUGGACAUGAUGCUAGUAGUUUUUGGUAGUUUAUUUUCUUUGUGGUUAGACAAACAUUUCAAGACUUAUCUGGUACAUUUUGUAUCACAGAUCUAGAAUCGAUCACUUCUUCAGGACACAUCGGUUCUUUUCAGUGGAAAAUUGUAUUAGAGACCACAGUUUGGGUGCUAGGGGGCUCAUAAAUACUGGGUAGGUCAUUUUUCACUAGGAUUUUUUGUAGACAAAGCUAAAAAAAUGUUUAAGAUCAAAUACAUCAGUCAUUUAUACUGUUACUUUCUACUCCAUUUCAGGACCAUUUAAGUUUUCAUUUAGCCCAAUUGAUCUUACAUUUGUAUCCUCGUCCUCCACUCUGAAUGUUCUCAUUUUCAACCACACCAAUAUGAUCACUUGUUUACUUGAUCAGCACAUAUAGAGGUCUUAGAAAAGCUAUACCAGUACUACUACAAACAAUAUGCUUAUUGAAAACAGUUUAAGCUUUUUAAAGUUUUUUUUUCUUUUUUUUUCCCAGGAUCUUCUACUAGGGAGUGUACAUAACAUCACUAAGUUUUUUGUGUUUGUUUUUUAAAUUUAGAAAUGGGGUCUCACUAUGUUGCCCAGGCUGGACUUAAACUCCUGGGCUCAAGGGAUCUUCCUGCCUCAGCCUGAAGUAGCUGAGACUACAGGCACGUGUCACCAUGCCCAGCAACAACGCUGAGUUUUAAGGUCAUUAAAGAUAAAUGUUUCAGUGUUUGCUUUAGUUCACUUUCAACUUUUAGGAAGUGCCUUUUUUGUUCAACAGUUUUAUUGAGGCAUAAUUUAUAUAUCAUACAUUCCCCCAUUUUAAGUUUAAAGUUAAAUAACUAUUAAUAAACUUAAUAGAGUGGUACAACCAUCACCAGAAUUAGAUUUUGAACAUUUCCAUUGCCUCCAAAAGCACCCAGCACCAUUUGUUGAAAAGGCCAUCUUUUUCCAAUGGAAUUGCCUUGGCGUUUUUAUUGAAAAUUAAUUGAACAUAAACAUAUGAUUUCUUGACUCUUAACUUACCCUCGUUCAUCUUUAGGUCUAUUUUUACACCAACCUAUCUUGGUUACUACAGUUUUAUAGUAAGUUUUGAAAUUGAGAGAUGUAAAUCUUCAAGUUUGUUCUUUUUCAGUAUUGUUUUGGGCACUCUAGAUCCUUUGCAUUUCC
rnacentral:lncRNA from 1 species